AAUCAACGCUGGCGGCGUGCCUCAGACAUGCAAGUCGAACGCGAAAGUUCCCUUCGGGGAGUGAGUAGAGUGGCGCACGGGUGAGUAACACGUAGGUAAUCUACCUUUGGUAUGGGGAAGUAACAACCGGAAACGGUUAGCUAAUACCGCAUAAUGCAGCGGCACCUAAUGGUGACAGUUGUUAAAGCGGGGGAUCGAAAGACCUCGCGGUCUGAAGAGGAGCCUGCGGCGGAUUAGCUAGNGGUAAGGUAACGGCUUACCAAGCGACGAUCCGUAGCCGCCUGAGAGGGCGGUCGGCCACACUGACACUGACAUACGGGUCAGACUCCUAC
rnacentral:rRNA from 1 species